rnacentral:rRNA from 1 species
GAUGAACGCUGGCGGCGUGCCUAAUACAUGCCAGUCGAGCGAACAGACGAGGAGCUUGCUCCUCUGACGUUAGCGGCGGACGGGUGAGUAACACGUGGAUAACCUACCUAUAAGACUGGGAUAACUUCGGGAAACCGGAGCUAAUACCGGAUAAUAUAUUGAACCGCAUGGUUCAAUAGUGAAAGACGGUUUUGCUGUCACUUAUAGAUGGAUCCGCGCCGCAUUAGCUAGUUGGUAAGGUAACGGCUUACCAAGGCAACGAUGCGUAGCCGACCUGAGAGGAUGAUCGGCCACACUGGAACUGAGACACGGUCCAGACUCCUACGGGAGGCAGCAGUAGGGAAUCUUCCGCAAUGGGCGAAAGCCUGACGGAGCAACGCCGCGUGAGUGAUGAAGGUCUUCGGAUCGUAAAACUCUGUUAUUAGGGAAGAACAAAUGUGUAAGUAACUAUGCACGUCUUGACGGUACCUAAGCAGAAAGCCACGGCUAACUACGU